AUCAUUUUCCAGAAGCCGCUGAGAUUAAAACCGUCAUGGUUACUGUAAAAAAGACCACCCUUCAGAAAUGGACUCUUCCAAACUCCACCGCCUCUUUUCGUGAUUUGGACUGUUCCAAAACUUUCUGGGGAGUUGGUUAACAAGAUGUUAUAGAGAAAGGAUGUGUAGAUGUGCUUGUUUAUAGUGAAUAAUAGUUAUAUUAGUCAGAAGUGUUGCCAUCUAUUGAAUUUGUGGAUUAUAUGUGUGCGUGCAACUAAUUAUCCAGAUGUAUGGCUGGAACAAAGGAGUUCAGGAAGAACAUGAAGAUGACCACCCCCAGGACAGACAAACACUUCACCAGGAGGACUUUGUCAGUUAUUCUGUGCUGUAAAAUAUGAAAAGCACAUUUAGAAAGUGUCUGACUAUUAUAAGAUUUCAAGAACUCAACCAUGCCCUGGGCUUCAAACAUGAGCAAACCAGGAGCGACCAUGACUAGUAUGUCAAGAUCAACUGGGAGUGCAUCACUCCUGAUAUGAACUACAACUUCCAUAAACAGAACAGCAACAAUCAAAACACUCCACACGACUACGGCUCUUUCCUGCAUUAUGGAAAAACGGCCUUCUCAACCCAGCCCAGGAAGGAAAACACUACUUUCAUUCCUGAUGCAAAAGUGGAUCUCAGACAUUGGCAGAAACUGACAAACAUUGACAUGCUGAAUGGAUGCUGACGUUGAGGAAUAUAUACAGUACUUGUGGUGUUACUAAUAAUUUAAUAUGUGUAGUCAUCUGUAGGUGAAUAAUGGAAUGAGGUGAUCUUCUUUGUCCAUUGAUGGGAUGAAACAUCCCAGUGUAGUUAUACUAAAUAUCAGCACUUUUGGGAUGCUGAUUGUCCUAUCAGAUAAAAAAUGU